UACGUAGGGUGCAAGCGUUGUCCGGAAUUAUUGGGCGUAAAGAGCGCGUAGGCGGUUUGUCACGUCUGCUGUGAAAGCUCGGGGCUCAACCCCGGAACUGCAGUGGGUACGGGCAGACUAGAGUGCGGUAGAGGAGACUGGAAUUCCUGGUGCAGCGGUGGAAUGCGCAGAGAUCAGGAGGAACACCAGUGGCGAAGGCGGGUCGCUGGGCCGCAACUGACGCUGAGGAGCGAAAGAGUGGGGAGCGAACAGG
rnacentral:rRNA from 1 species